rnacentral:rRNA from 1 species
CUCUAGUGGCGGACGGGUGAGUAACACGUAAGAAUUUGCCUUUAGGAGGGGGACAACAACUGGAAACGGUUGCUAAUACCCCAUAUGCUUUCGAGUGAAAUGGAUUUCCGCCUAAAGAGAAGCUUGCGGCUGAUUAGCUUGUUGGUAGGGUAAUGGCCUACCAAGGCGACGAUCAGUAUCUGGUUUGAGAGGACGAUCAGACACACUGGAACUGAGACACGGUCCAGACUCCUACGGGAGGCAGCAGUAGGGAAUUUUCCGCAAUGGGCGAAAGCCUGACGGAGCAAUACCGCGUGAGGGAUGACUGCCUAUGGGUUGUAAACCUCUUUUUUCAGGGAGGAAUAAAUGACGUGUACCUGAAGAAUAAGCAUCGGCUAACUCCGUGCCAGCAGCCGCGGUAAGACGGAGGAUGCAAGUGUUAUCCGGAAUCACUGGGCGUAAAGCGUCUGUAGGUGGCUCGACAAGUCAACUGUUAAAUCUUGAAGCUCAACUUCGAAAUCGCAGU